UACGUAGGGUGCGAGCGUUAAUCGGAAUUACUGGGCGUAAAGUGUGCGCAGGCGGCCGCGCAAGUCGAGUGUGAAAGCCCCGGGCUUAACUUGGGAAUUGCGCUCGAAACUACGUGGCUGGAGUGUGGCAGAGGAAGGUGGAAUUCCAGGUGUAGCGGUGAAAUGCGUAGAUAUCAGGAGGAACACCUGUGGUGUAGACAGCUUACUGGACCAUUUCUGACGCUGAGACACGAAAGCGUGGGUAGCAAACAGG
rnacentral:rRNA from 1 species